rnacentral:rRNA from 1 species
CAGGCCUAACACAUGCAAGUCGAACGAGACCUUCGGGUCUAGUGGCGCACGGGUGCGUAACGCGUGGGAAUCUGCCCUUGGGUUCGGAAUAACUUCGGGAAACUGAAGCUAAUACCGGAUGAUGACGUAAGUCCAAAGAUUUAUCGCCCAAGGAUGAGCCCGCGUAGGAUUAGCUAGUUGGUGAGGUAAGAGCUCACCAAGGCGACGAUCCUUAGCUGGUCUGAGAGGAUGAUCAGCCACACUGGGACUGAGACACGGCCCAGACUCCUACGGGAGGCAGCAGUGGGGAAUAUUGGACAAUGGGCGAAAGCCUGAUCCAGCAAUGCCGCGUGAGUGAUGAAGGCCUUAGGGUUGUAAAGCUCUUUUACCCGGGAUGAUAAUGACAGUACCGGGAGAAUAAGCUCCGGCUAACUCCGUGCCAGCAGCCGCGGUAAU